rnacentral:rRNA from 1 species
CAGCCGCCGCGGUAAUACCGAGGGUGCGAGCGUUAAUCGGAUUUACUGGGCGUAAAGCGUGCGUAGGCGGCUUCUUAAGUCGGAUGUGAAAUCCCUGAGCUUAACUUAGGAAUUGCAUUCGAUACUGGGAAGCUAGAGUAUGGGAGAGGAUGGUAGAAUUCCAGGUGUAGCGGUGAAAUGCGUAGAGAUCUGGAGGAAUACCGAUGGCGAAGGCAGCCAUCUGGCCUAAUACUGACGCUGAGGUACGAAAGCAUGGGGAGCAAACAGGAUUAGAUACCCCCGUAGUCCCUGUCUCUUAUAA